AUAAAAACUAAGAUGGAGAACAGUAGGUGUGUUUAUAUCUUAAAGAGAUUGGGGAAAGGUGGGAACCCAUAGAUAGUACACAUUGAACUCGCUCUGGAGUUGCAGGCUGAAAUUUUAGUAGGCUGUGCCGGCAGUAUUGUCGUUAUUUAAUUAAGAAAAAAUUUGGGUGGUACCGCGACAGACUUCUCGCCCCAUGA
rnacentral:ncRNA from 1 species